ensembl:piRNA 21ur-2872 ncRNA
UGCUGUGUAGGGCUAUAAUAA